AUUGAACGCUGGCGGCAGGCCUAACACAUGCAAGUCGAACGGUAACAGGAAGCAGCUUGCUGCUUUGCUGACGAGUGGCGGACGGGUGAGUAAUGUCUGGGAAACUGCCUGAUGGAGGGGGAUAACUACUGGAAACGGUAGCUAAUACCGCAUAACGUCGCAAGACCAAAGAGGGGGGACCUUCGGGCCUCUUGCCAUCGGAUGUGCCCAGAUGGGAUUAGCUAGUAGGUGGGGUAACGGCUCACCUAGGCGACGAUCCCUAGCUGGUCUGAGAGGAUGACCAGCCACACUGGAACUGAGACACGGUCCAGACUCCUACGGGAGGCAGCAGUGGGGAAUAUUGCACAAUGGGCGCAAGCCUGAUGCAGCCAUGCGCGUGUAUGAAGAAGG
rnacentral:rRNA from 1 species